rnacentral:rRNA from 1 species
AUACGGAGGGUGCAAACGUUGCUCGGAAUUAUUGGGCGUAAAGCGCGUGUAGGCGGUCGGCUAAGUCGGAUGCGAAAGCCCCGGGCUCAACCCGGGAAGUGCGUCCGAUACUGGCAGACUUGAGUACGGGAGAGGGUAGCGGAAUUCCCGGUGUAGAGGUGAAAUUCGUAGAUAUCGGGAGGAACACCAGUGGCGAAGGCGGCUACCUGGACCGAUACUGACGCUGAGACGCGAAAGCGUGGGGAGCAAACAGGAUUAGAUACCCCGGUAGUCC